GUUUACGGCCAUGCCACCCUGAACAAGCCCGAUCCCGUCUGAUCUCGGAAGCUAAGCAGGGUCGGGCCUGGUUAGUACUUGGAUGGGGGACCACCUAGGAAGAUCAGGUGCUGUAGGUG
rnacentral:rRNA from 1 species